rnacentral:sRNA from 2 species
CCCAUCAGUAUGCCGAGCCCUGCCACUGAUACGGGAUUCAACCGCUUUCCAGCUGGCAGGGACGGGGGAACCAAGUUUCCACGGCCAUUUGUGGCCUUGGGGUUAAGUCGACAGCGCCUUCGUCCAUUACGGGCGGUCGCCCUUCGGCCGGGUAUCUCCAACCCGAACCCGACAGCUCACCCCGCAGGCAUGGGAGAGGCGAUCA